GUGAUUGUUGUUUAUAGCCACCAAAUGUGAAAUAUUCAUAUUAAACAAAGAUGGAUAAUGUUCCUGAUGGAUGUGUUUUUUUGAGGUUGAAUUUGUUAAUACAACUUAAGUUCGAUAUAAUAUUGACAUAAAAAUAACCAUUAGGCUGAAUUUGGACUAGACUCAGAUUGGUAAGCAAUAUUUAAAAUCUGAGUAUCAAGUCUAUCAAGUCAGAAACAUGUGGCCAUUAACAGAGCUUCCUUCUCAUGAUCUGUGCUAAUCUGUGAAGUAUAUUAAAAGGGAAACUUAUUGUUACUAUCUCUUUUCAUUAUUUCAACAAAACAGAAAAAUAGGUGGGCUGCUAUCACGAUCCAAACAAACUAAAUUAAACAAUAUAAUACUAGCAUUAUACAAAAGAUUUGGGAACAAACAAAGGGGUAGGGCACUAGGGCUGCUACGUCCUUGCCAACAGACUUAGAAGUUAGAAUAAUAGAAAUAAUAUUACUAGCAAUUUACAUCCUUUUGUCCAACUCCCCCAGAAAACAUAUACACGAAUAAUUGUUGAAAAUAACCCAAACAACAAAUACAUGAAUAACGAGAAAAGGAGAUGUUCUUGUAUUCUAAAACAUACACCGUUGAUACCUGUUGGGAGGAAGUAGAAAACCGAUUUCAGAAAGAAGAAAACAGAAUAAAUCCUGAGCUGGAGGGAAACUAUCAUAGUGAAAGGCUAAAGGAGUUGACGAGAGAAAUGGUGGCCAAUUGGCGAUCGAAUCUUCCCUAUCAUCUUACAGGAAACGACGAUUUCGCCUCAGCUCACAAACAGGUGCAGGUGCUGUGGGUGCGAGACUGCGGGUGACUGAUUGGGAAAAGGGAUUUCAAUCCAGCGAAACCCUAUAGGGACGAUAAGUCCUUCCUAUUCCUGCCCAUUAAAAUCGGGUCGUUCCA
rnacentral:lncRNA from 1 species